rnacentral:rRNA from 1 species
GAGUUAACGACUAAGCGUACACGGUGGAUGCCACGGCGGUCAGAGGCGAUGAAGGGCGUGCUAAUGCUGCGAUAGCGCCGGUAAAGGUGAUAUGAACCGUUGUAACCGGCAUUAUUGAAUGGGAAACGGUGUGAUUCGUCACAUCAUUAACGUCCAUGGGUUAAUGAGGCGAGCCGGGAACUGAAACAUCUAAGUACCCCGAGGAAAGAAAUCAACCGAAUUCCCCCAGUAGCGGCGAGGCGAGGCGGGAGAGAGCCCAGAGCCUGAAUCAGCAUGUGGUAUUUGGUAAGGAAGCGUCGCAGGAAAGGCGCGCGAUGCAAGUGACAGCCCCGUACACAAGCGCAUGUGCUGUAGGCUCGAUAGUAGGGCGGGACGUGGUAUCGCAAUACGAAUAUAGGACCAUCACUCCAAGGCUGGCUCUCUGACUGACCGAUAGUGAACCAGUACCGUGAGGAAGAGCGAAAAGAACCCCGGCGAGUGAAAAAGAACGCAAAACCGUGUGUACGUACGAAGCGGUGGGAACUGCAGGUUUGCUGCAAUGACUGCGUACCUUGUAUAAUGGGUCAGCGACAUAUUCUAGCAAGGUUAACCGUAUAGGGAGCCGGAGGAAGCCAGAGUCAUAACCAGGCGUUAAGUUGCGGUAUAGACCUUGAAACGGUGAUCUAGCAUGGGCAGGUUGAAGGUUGGGUAACACUAACUGGAGGACCGAACCGACUAAUGUUGAAAAAAUUAGCGGAUGACCUGUGGCUGGGGGUGAAAGGCCGAAAUCAAACCGGGAGAUAGCUGGUUCUCCCGAAAGCUAUUGGUAGCGCCUCGUGAAUUCAUCUCCGGGGUAGAGCACUGUUUCGGCUAGGGCAUCCGGCUUACCAGCCGAUGCAAACUGCGAAAUACCGGAAGGGCUGUAUCACAGGAGGCAGCAGGUACUAACGUCCGUCGUGAAGAGGAAACAACAGACGCCAGCUAAGGUCCCAAAGUCAUGGUUAAGUGGGAAACGAUGGCCAGGAAGGCCCAGACAGCCGGGGAUGUUGGCUUAGAAGCAGCCAUCAUUUAAAGGCGUAAUAGCUCACUGGUCGAGUCGGCCUGCGCGGAAAUGUAACAGGGCUAAACCAUGCCAGCGGCUGCGGCAGCGACACUGUGUGUUGUUGGGUAGGGAGCGUUCUGUAAGCCUGUGAGAAGGUGUGUCGUGAGCAUGCUGGAGGUAUCAAAUGCGAAUGCUGACAUAAGUAACGAUAAAGCGGGUGAAAAGCCCGCUCGCCGGAAAGACCAAGGGUUCCUGUCCAACGUUAAUCGGGGCGAAAGGGUAGGAAUUGACAACCCUAAGGCGAGGCCGAAAGGGCGUAGUCGAUAAGGAAGUAAGGUUAAUAUUCCACACGUACUUGGGUAUUUACUGCGAAGGGACGGAGAAGGCUAUGUUGGCCGGGCGACGGUUUGUAGUUUAGCGAUAUUGGAAGUAAUUCGGAAGUAAAUCCGAAGUUCACUUUAACACUGAGGCGGAAACAUUGAGCGCACUACGGUGCUGAAACAGCAAAUACUUACCAAACUUCCGAGGAAAAAGCUCGCAUCAGAGUAACAUCAAAUCGUACCCCAAACCGACACAGGUGAGGUCAGGUAGAGAAUACCAAAGGCGCUUGAGAAGAACUCGAAUUUGAAGGAACUUUAGGCAAAAUAAUUUGCCGUAACUUCGGGAGAAGGCACGCUGACACGUAGGUGAAGUGGGCUACUCAUAUGGAGCUGAGGUGAAGUCGAAGAUACCAGCUGGCUGCGCUGUUUAUUAAAAAGCUUACGGCGCUGUGCGACACGAAAGUAGGGCGUAUACCAGUGUGACGCCUGCCGAACGGAAGGUUAAUUGAUAGGAGUCGCGCAAGCGAAACACGAUCGAAACUUACAGUGGCAGCACGGCCGUAACUAUAGCGGUCCUAAGGUAGCGAAAUUCCUUGUCAGGUAAGUUCCGACCUGCACGGAAAGAUAGCGUAAUGAUGGCGAGGCUGUCUCACCGAAGACUCAGUGAAAUUGAAUUUCGCUGUGAAGAUGCAGUGUACUUACGCGGCAAGACGGAAAGGCCGUGAACGCUAUAACUGACGCAGACAUUGAGCCUUGAUGUAGCCAGGAUGGAAUUGGGAGGCUUUGAAGCGUGGACGCCAGUCUGCGUGGAGGCCGACGCGAAAUACCUGCCCCAAUAUUUGAUGUUCUAACGUGGACCCAUGUCGGGUUGCGGACAGUGUCUGGUGGGUAGUUGACUGGGUGGUCUCACUCCUAAAAAGGUAACGGAGGAGCACGAAGGUUGGCUAAUCACGGUCGGACAUCAGGAGGUUAGUGCAAUGGCAUAAGCCAGCUUGACUGCGAGCGUGACGGCGCGGCGGUGCGCAGGUCAUAGUGAUCCGGUGGUUUGUUCUGAAUGGAAGGGCCAUCGCUCAACGGAUAAGGUACUCCGGGAAUGGCAGGCCCGAUACCGCCCAAAGUUCAUAUCGACGGCGGUCACGGCACCUCGAUGUCGGCUCAUCACAUCACAGGGGCUGAAGUAGGUCCCAAGGGUAUGGCUGUUCGCCAUUUAAAGUGGUACGCGAGCUGGGUUUAGAACGUCAUUGAGACAGUUCGGUCCCUAUCUGCCGUGGGCGCUGGAGAACUGAGGGGGCUGCUCUAGUACGGGGACCCGGAGUGGACAUCGCAGUUGUUCGGGUUGUCAUGUAGCUUGCCCGGUAGCUAAAUGCCGGAAGAGAUAAGUGCUGAAAGCAUCUAAGCACGAAACUUGCCCCGGAUGAGUUCUCCUGAGACUUAGAGUCUCCUGGAAGGAACGUUGAGAACUGACGACGUUGAUAGGCCGGGGUGUAGCCAAAGCGCAGCGUGCGUUGAACUAGCCGGUACUAAUGAACCCGUGAAGCAGCCUUAC